rnacentral:rRNA from 1 species
GAUGAACGCUGGCGGCGUGCCUAAUACAUGCGAGUCGAACGCUGGAGAUCUAGCUUGCUAGAUCGAAGGAGUGGCGAACGGGUGAGUAAUACAUAAGCAACCUACCCACGAAGACUGGGAUAAUCUCUGGAAACGGGGACUAAUACCGGAUAGGUAAUCGGAAGGCAUCUUCUGGUUAUUAAAGGUUAAAAACACUGGUGGAUGGGCUUAUGGCGCAUUAGUUAGUUGGUGAGGUAACGGCCCACCAAGACGAUGAUGCGUAGCCGGCCUGAGAGGGUGAACGGCCACAUUGGGACUGAGACACAGCCCAGACUCCUACGGGAGGCAGCAGUAGGGAAUUUUCGGCAAUGGGGGCAACCCUGACCGAGCAACGCCGCGUGAGUGAAGACGGCCUUCGGGUUGUAAAGCUCUGUUGUAAGGGAAGAACGGUAGAUAGAGAAUAUCUAAGUGACGGUACCUUACCAGAAAGCCACGGCUAACUACGUG